GGGCGUCUCUAUCUCAUUGCGAGAGGAGGCGCACCUAGAGCGUACACGCUGAUACCCGAAAGAUGGUGAACUAUGCCUGGCCAGGACGAAGCCAGGGGAAACCCUGGUGGAGGUCCGCAGCGAUUCUGACGUGCAAAUCGAUCGUCGGAGCUGGGUUUAGGGGCGAAAGACCAAUCGAACCAUCUAGUAGCUGGUUCCCUCUGAAGUUUCCCUCAGGAUAGCUUGCGCUCGGAAACAACGAGUCUCAUCCGGUAGAGCGAAUGAUUAGAGGCCUUGGGGUCGAAACGACCUCAACCUAUUCUCAAACUCCAAAUAGAUGAGAACCCCGGCUUUCUUGAACUCUGUUUAUGAAGCCGGGGGCUCGGAUCAGAGUGCCAAGUGGGCCAAUUUU
rnacentral:rRNA from 5 species